ensembl:misc_RNA Metazoa_SRP Metazoan signal recognition particle RNA
GCUGGGCACAGUGGCGCGUGCCUGUAGUCCCAGCUACUCUGGAGGCUGAGGUGGGAGGAUCGCUUGAGCCCAGGAGUUCUGGGCUGUAGUGCGCUAUGCCGAUCAGGUGUCCAUACUAAGUUUGGCAUCAAUAUGGUGACCUCCCGGAAGCAGGGAACCACCAGGUUGCCUAAGGAGGGGUGAACCGGCCCAGGUCAGAAACGGAGCAGGUCAAAAGUCCUGUGCUGAUCAGUAGUGGGAUUGCGCCUAUGAAUAGCCACUGCACUCCAGUCUGGGCAACAUAGUGAGACCCCAUCUCUU